UUUGAACUGUUCAUUUCCAUUUAUCUUAUUUGAUUUUUUUUUUAUGAUUAGUAUUUUUAUUGUUAUUAGAUGAUAAAACAUUAAUAGUAUUUUAUGUGUGAUUUUUUUAAAAAAAAUUAUAAUAUUUUAAAAUAAGACAGACGUUAAAUGUUGGACACAGAUUCUUACGGCUGCACUUAUU
rnacentral:pre_miRNA from 1 species